rnacentral:lncRNA from 1 species
GGGGGAAUGGAGAAAGAGCAUCCAAGCCAAGCCAAGGCAAGUCAAGUCAAGCACCGAGGACCGAGCACCUAGCUCAUAUUACGACAUCUCUACGCAUCAAAUGACACGUUUUAGCACCAACACAAAUAGACGUACGGGCACAUACAGACUCAAACACCAUGACCAGAGGGAGACGUGCAUGAGGUGGCCAUUGUGCGGCAGUGGAACUGCUCCUUCCGUUGGAACUCCUGCUGCAGCUCUGACGCUGAUGAGAGUGGAGAAGUGGAGGCAGGAGCCAUAGAGCAGCCAUGGAGAAGAUGCUGCUGCCGCCGCGAGUGCACAUGAACUAUAAACCGCAUUUUACGUGCCCCGGAAGGAGGGCUGCCAAUGGCCACCGUAGGACUGGCAGCGCACAAAAAGUGCAGCUAACCGUUAAGCUCUUAAAGGCUCCUGCUUUAAAGAGCAACGAACGAACUGCCAAUCUGGAGUGGUGGAGUGGCCAGAGCAAACGAGCAAUUAUUCUGCAAUAUCUUUGAAAUUAACAAAACCGUCUCCUGCUGCCCGUUCCCGCUAUCCGUAGGCCAGGUUGAGUGGGAGAGGCGGUAAAUGAAACGUUAUCAAUGUGCCGAGUGUCGGGGCUCUGUCGAAUGGAGCGGAACAAAACGACAGAGAACGUUAGUGGAGGAGCGCCAGCAAAACGAAUGUAAAACAGAGUGGAAAUACUGAAAAAUGAAUGGAUACCAUUGACAAGAAGAAUCUAACAAGCGAGAGUGGUUUAAGGAUUAUGAGGAGUGGGACAAAAAGUUAAGGAAAAGCCUAAAAAUCAAAACAGCAAGCGAGAAAAUGAAUUGACUCUUACAUUAAUCCCAUACCCAUUUUUCCUCAAAGGUGCUUAAGCUUCACAACCCUCAAGGUAAGCUUGAAUAGACCCGAAAUGGAGUUCAACCGCAACUAACUGACUUCGCAAGAGAAUCCCUAACCAAACAACAUCAAGGAUCUUUGGCAUUUUCCAUUUCAUAACCAAAAACAGCAUUGCAAAUUAUUCUUCAUAUUCCAUCAACUGUCAUCUCACUUGACUAACUCCCAUUUCACACCCUUCCAGUCCCAUUGCAAUUCUAUGCCAACUGAGCAUCGGACCAUCCUCUACAGCAUAUUUGCUGCAACAUAUUUUGGGGCUUCCUUCGUACCGCCCUCGUCCGGGACAAGCGUUGAAAAUCUGCCCAAUUCGUUUGCUUUGAUUACAAGCUUGUUGCUGCCUUGAUGCCAUGCCUAGAGAUAGGAACAGCGCCGAGAGCAGAGCCGGAGCAGAUCCAGAAACACCUCCAAAAGCCACAAGCCCAACUACUCGUGUACUACUGAGCUGGUCAACAUUUAGCUAACUAUUUUUUCACACUCACUCUAUCUCUGUCUCAGGCUUCGUGUCUCUCUUUCUCUCUCUCUCUGUGCCUCUGUGCCUCUUUUUCUCUGCUUCUCUUUCUGUUUUCGACGAAUGUUGCUCCUUUUUUGCCAGUUACUUUUAAAUUAAGCAAUUUGAAAUGUUGACCAGAGAAUCUUUCCUCCUCUUUCAUUCCUUACACCUCCGUUCCGUUCCGUUCCGACUGAAACCGCAAACUGUUGGCCCACAAGUUGUGUAGAGUGUCACGGGUUGUAAUCGUUCGUUGUAGGUGGCUGUAACUUGGCCAGAAGCAGUAGGAGAGCCCACAGCAGUGGCAGUUCCAGUAGUAGUAGCAUUGAAAAUACCCGUAAAGAUAGCCCCGGCCAACACAGGAGCCAGCUCCCUCUCUUUUUAUCUCGUUUAUCUUUUUUUCUGUGUCGAAGGAAGAGUCGAUGGCAGACUAACUACAAUUUUUUGAUUGCCCGUGUUUUGUAAGCGCGCUGGCCAUUUGCUUUGCCGCCCCGGAGCCCUCCUGUCCGGCACGGAGCCGGCUUUGACCAGCUCAGCGCUGGCCCAACCAUUUUAAUUUCACUUUACGGUUUCCAAACACGAAAUCCUUUUUGCCACUAGGUGUAGCCAGGACUCGUUUUUUAUCGCUCCCUACUACUGUGUGUCCUGCUGGAGGUGUGUUUGUUUGGGUCUCCUGUUUGUGGGCUAUUAAAAAGUGAAAUGGUGGCAUUCAAAACCCCCAGAGAGCGAGCCAAGGAUGCAAGUCAUAUGUGUGUGCUCGGGAAUAGAGGAGGGAAUACUCCUCGUAGCAUGUGAGAAGCCAGGUGGGGCAGGGGCUGCGAGCCUUGGUAGGGCAUGACAGAGAUUAGCUCUGGUUUGGGUCGAUUAGGUACGGAUGGGUUCUACUUCUGGGUUAGGUUUCGGUUAUGCUGCGGUGAUAUAAGUAGAGCUAAUGGCUUUAGGAUUUCACAGAUUGAUGGGGAUGAUGUGUGCUGUGGAUCUGAGGUGAUUUCCGAGGCUUCCUGGUAAUUUUAAACGACUUAAUCGCUUUAUGGUUGAUUUAAUGGUUAUGUUCAUGUUUAUAGGAAAUUAAAUAGCCAAUCAUGUGGAGCAGAGACAUACAGAGGCAUACCUACAUGUGCAAGGAAAAGAAAGCAAUGCUCGAGGCAGAGGCAAAGGCAAAGGCAGAGGAGGUGGCAAUAAAAUAAAUAAACUUUGAAGGCAAUCUCAAUUGGAA